GGGGGGGGGGGAAGGUAGGGUGGAAGACUCCCCCCAGUUUUGUAGUAAUGAAAACAUAUUUGGUUUGUAUACUGUUCAUAUGUUUCAUAAAAAUGCCGAUCACUCUCCUGAAGAGAGGAGAAACGGAGCGAUUGUGUGCGUCCCACCCUUCCCCCUGCGCUGCCCUUUGCGCUCCUAUGACGCAGCACUUAUGGAAGUCGGAGCUGUGCUCGGCUCCUUCUGCCUUUCGCACGGCGCAUCCUCCCCUCUCUUCCCACUCGUAAAAAAUAAUAAUAAUAAUAAUAAUAAUAACUUGCAAAUUUAUUUCAGUGGAAAUUUGGAAAAAACGCUAUUAGGAAAGAAAAGCACAACCCUCCUAACAUACAGCACACACCAACUCCAAUGCUCCCCCACCCCCCGAAGAAAAAAACCCUUUUUCCUUUGGUGCAUAUAUUUUUCCAAGGUCACCUCGGAGGCUUUUCCUAGUUGGCCAUUAAAACAACACCAAAAAAAAAAAAGCCUGCCCCAAGAAGCACAUGAAGCCAUUGCUGUGGCUUGGAACGCUUCCCUGUGUACAGAUGCCACUGGAGAAGCAACGGGGCGGGGGGGGGUGCUGAUAUUUUUCCAAGACUUUUUCUCUCACCAGAGGAGGAGGAUGAAGAUGGAGUGAUGAGUGAGGUUCCGUUUGUCCGGCAGCGUGAGUCACUCAGCAGCAGUUUCCGAUACACACUAUUUUUUUUUUUCUUUCCAUUACAGAAUUUGGUGUCAUUUAUUCCUUCCUCCUCCUCAAGAAAAAAAAAGAAAAUGAAAUAAAAAAUAAAAUCCCGCUACCGUUAUGUCUGAUUUAUUCUGGGAACUCGUUUGAGGACCCACCAAACGUGGUGGGGGAAGGGUGAUGUGAAACACAAUCCAAAAUAUAAUCGGCUCUGGAAGCUUUUAAAGAGACUCCUUUAAGGCCAUGCCAAACCUUAAAGAAGGAAAAUACUUCCACUAAAUCCCUCCCACCAUGAAUGGGAUCCUGUAUGUCUGAGGCUUUUUAUUGGCUGGGUGAUGGGGUUUUUUUUUGCUGUUGUUGUUUAUUUGUUUUUGUUUUUUUAUAUCAAAGAUGUUACUCUUUCAAAUAGGGUCUGAGUUCUGUGGCUUUUCAGCAGGCACUGAAUUCUUGCUCCUGGAGCAUGCAGUGAUCUGACACAGCCCUCCCCUACAGUGAGUCGGGUUCUCAUGCUAAGAUCUGGCUCCUGGAGCUUGAGCUGUUGUUUUUUUUCUGGAAGUUGUUUUUUCCCCUCUUCACCCUUUAAAAACAAAACUAAACAGCCUUUUAUAAGCCCUUAGAAGGGGAAAAAAAAAACGAAACAAAAACAAAGCCAGCAGCCAGCCAGCACCGGGAGGUGAGACAGGAGAAGGCUCCAUCAGCAGGGACAUCAUCGUCACAGAGCCAAGACAACCCAAUCACCAGUUUUAUAAGCCAUGUGUGGACAUGAGUGAACAUCUUGACCCUUAUUUCCUCUUCAAGUAACCAUACUUAGUCUUGCUUCACAUCUCGGAUGGGCAAUCCCGAGCUGUUGUUCUGUGCCUACUCCGUGUACCUUCUGACAGAGGUGGAUCAGGCUUUAAAUGCUGUUGCUACCUGUCUAGUCACUUGCACUGGCAGAAAGUAAUCUGUUCAUUAGUUUUGACGGAAGAGUAUUUUAGGGAGCUCUGGAAGCACUGUUCUAUUUUAUCUAGAGCCAGGAGGUCCUGCUGCCCUGUAGCUUCCAGCUACACUUACACUCAGAUCUGGAAAUGCCUACCACUACCAUUUCUUUCUUGCAACUAAUGGCCUUAACUCAGCCCCACGGCCUGUGCAGUACUUAAUUCUCAUUCUUUAUUCUUUCAGAUGCUACAUUUAACUUCCUCCGCUCUGUCCAAGUCAGUGUAAGCUCUAUCAGUCCACCCUGUGCAAUGAGAGUAAACAGGAAAACUCAUCAGCAGGGAAAAUGGCUGGGAGCUCGGCUGGAGCAAACUACACUUUGUCUGAAUCCAGGCAUACUUAGGAGCCUAAAAAAGGACCUUUCUUCAUUGACUAGGAGGUCAAAGACCUCCUGGCAUCCUGUCUCGAACAGCCUCAUUCUUCACAUGCCAUAAGCAACUUCUCUUCCGCAUUUCAACUUCUUCUAGCACAAUCUCACCCAUAACUGGUAGGGCCCAUCCUUGUUUCGGUGACUCUUCUUCUCAUAUGGACUGCAGAGCCAGACAAUAACCAGGGCACCCUGACAGUGUUGUCUGUGGCUUCUCAUAGGGGACAGCUGCAGUUCAAGUAUUUUAUCACUGUUCGUGCUGCUUUCCCUCGAGGAUCACAUGUUCAUGGACUGCACCAGGAGGUCUGAGCAAAUGGCUGCAGCAGAAGGGAGUUGGCUUCACCAGACCUUCCCUCUCUGGGCGUGAGGUCACUACAGAACGUGGUGCUUCACCUGUUCAGCUCACCAAGCAGCCCCUGACCAGGCCUCGUGUCAUGUGCCACGCUGGUGCCUGACUGCUGUUUUCUGCUUGGCCAUUUGUAAAACAUUCGGUCAUUUAGGGCUACAAAACAAUCUUGGAGACCCCACGAGAAAUACACCCACUCCAUUCUGAUUUCCUGUUUACAAUUACCUUUUGGGAUGUGUUUCCAAGCCAGUUUAAUCCUUUUACUCUUCCACAUUGAUUUUGAAUCAUUCUAGUUUAAGUAUUUUGAGUACCAAGACAAAUAUUUUUCAUGAGUCUCAAACCACAAGUAUCUUAUUGACCAUAUUUUUAAUUUCAUCACAAAUAAUCCCAAGUCUGGCUUGACGGGAUCCAUCUUCCAUAAGGUACCAGGCGCCUCCUGAUUAAGAAUGAGUCUCAUGAAAGCAGUCAUUUAGUGGUGUUUCGAGGCAGCUCUGAAAGGCAUCGCUUCAGAGCUCCUACCCCACAGUCAAAAAGGCUUGUAACCCCAUCCAAGAAUGCAACUCAAACUCUGGAAUAAAACGGUGCUCAUCCAGCUUUACAUUUCUCAUGCAUUAGGUUUCAGUAGUUAGCAAAACAUGAUUGCCAUUUCCCAAGUGCACGCAAACAUUAUUUAUUAAAGGAAAUUGGAGUCCCCUCCCUUAAUAGCCUAAAGCCUAAUAAAGCACAACCCAAACAAAACCCAGAGUACUCAAGUUCUGCUGAACUCUGAGCACUGCCACACUUGCCUGCAGGUUUGUAGUUCAAAAUGCACAACAGAAACUGAGUGGCAAAUUCUCUGCACGCAGGAGCAGUGCGGGAUUCUCCAUAAGGACUGUUUGCAUCAUAAUACUUGGUGGAUUUUCUUCCCUGUUUAACAAAAGUUAUGACUCAAAGCUCCAGCAUGACCCAGCAGAAUGUGUUUUUUGAAUCUGUGUAAGAACCCUAUUUAAACAUUGUAAGUUGAAAGGGAAGAAAAAAGCCAACCUCACACCAGGUUUUCUGUGCCAAACCUCACCAUAUAGACAUGUGCAAUUAUGGAACUUCCUGAAAUAUAUUUUUGCUAGAAAGAGAAAUGGAUGAAAGUUACACGGGACUCUAAAGAGCCUCAGGAAAGGAUACAGAAUCAUAACCAAAUAACCCACUGAGUGGGGAAAGAAAACCACAGUGCUCAUUUCAGGUGGCAGUUGAAGUCUGAGCUCUCAAAUAUGUAUGAUAAAGGAGGUAUCGACAUCCAACACAUGCCAGCAUGUGUUUUUGAGGCACUGAUUACACUGGGAGGCAACACGCCUUGCUGCAGAUCCAGUGUUACUGCCAUGAACCUGUCCAUUCAUUCCCAGCAAAAAUACUUUUUUUUUCCCUUUCUUUUUUCUUGUUGUUUUCAGUAGCGUGUUCUAACCCCAGCCUCUCUGACCUCCUCUUAAAAUGUCAGCACUUCUGGUCAAGUGCUCAGCAUCACCAGGAGAGAGCUGGAAACUCUCCCAGCGCCAGCGCCCACAUCUCACCCCCUGCAGGGCCCUGGGACUGGCAGGAUUUCUUCAGCCCUCAGUUGUGUUCCAAUGUGCUCACUCACACAGUUGUUUAUAUCAUUUUUUUUUGUAAGGAUAGGGCUGGGUUUUUUUUUUUUUUUCCUCCUCUGAUCCUCAUGAACCUUAAUUAUGAAUCCAAGGUCAUUAUCAGCGAUGUCAAUUAUACAAUGGCUGAGCAGCUGCUCCCCCUGUUGCUGGCCUAAUAGUGCCAUGUUGAAGUAGACAGCAGAAUUUCUUGUGCCAUUGAAAAUUUGCUAUAUCAUGAGUUUCCUUUCAAUCGCAAAAGCAGAAAAACAGCUUGAGUACUUUUCCUCCUACAUCUUCAUUUCAAGCUGCUUUUACCGUCCUCAGAACAUCCUUCAGCAUCUCCUGCCUUAAAAACAUAACCCAAAGGGAAUAAAGGAGAAUUUAACAAAGAACAAUUUUUCCCAGAUGGUACCCAAAGUCUUCUGCAAACACAAAGGUAUGAACUGCUAUAAAAUAAGCCCUAAUGGAGAUUUUGGCUGUGGGAGCAUGAGGCGUAUGGCCAUUCACAUGUUAGGAAUUGCUGUAUUCAGUGCUGAAACACAACUGCUUCGGGGUGAGAUCUCAGCUUGACAGUGCAGAGCAGCAACAGAUAAUGUUGGAGUACAGAAAGCAGGGUGAUAUUUAGCAUGCAACCGAAAGGCCCCUUUCUUCACCUUGAUGUAUUUUAUAACAGUUUAGAUAACCGAAGUGAGGUAGCCCAACAGCAAACUAUCACAGUUAUCAGCAAUUUCCUCUUCUGUGCACGGGGUGAGGAGUGUGGUGUGCCACAUCCCACCACGUAGGAAGUGCUAACAAGUGCUGACUCGUUCAUGGCAGGCACCGUAUAGCUAGCGAAUACCAAGAGACCCAGCUCUUCCCCUUUCGAUCCUUCACUUGUUUCCCUUCCUUCCUCAUUGCAGAAGACGCAGGCAGGUGGUUGGAUUCACACGGGGUGACCGCCUCUGCGCCUUCCUUAGCAUCACGUCACACACAGGCACUGCUGGGAGAUGCCCAUUUGUCAGAUGUAUGGUUUGUGGAGGGAUCUGCUUCAGUGUCUCUUCUAUGUAAAGCAACACUGACAUGGUGUUAUACAGAGGAACGAUGGUGGUACAUCGAAUGCUCAUAGUUGUAUCUCUCUUCUACUGAUGAACAACUUUCCACCUCUUCCUCCUAACCUCCUUCCUUCCCAUGCCCGAUUUCUACCUUGCAAAACUCCUGCUGAGGUCUGGGAGAAAAAUCGGGCUUCUCUUUAUUAUUAUUCCCAGCAAGGAAAACUGAUGGAUCCAUUUAUCAUCUUGUUGAUGCUUGCACAAUCCUACUGCUGUCCCUGUCUUUGCUGUGCCCCCUCUACUGUACCAAUGAGGGUAGAAAUCAAAUUAAAAAAGCUUGCUUUUGUCAGUGCAGCCAGCAGCUAUGACUCAGAACACAGGGAGCCCGCAGAUUUGGUGAGUAAGAUGGAGCUUCUCCCCACUGUCCCCCUCCCCUUUGUUAAAAAUAGUCAUGUUAGAGAACAGAACUUCAAAGAAUGUGACCGUAGGAUUGGGGAUUUGUGCUGCAGACACCUUUUUGGUUGACUCCGGUGACAGAUGAGGCUCUCGGCACUGCCAGUUUUGCACGGUCUAAACAUUUCCAGAAGCUUAAGCACCUCUCAGGGUUUGCACAUCUGGGCUUUAACCAUGCGAGAUCCAGAACUCUCCAUGUCUUCAGACUUGGAGAACUUCCUGCUUAGGCCAGGGGGAUGCUGUCAAAAUAGGCUUCUUUACCGAGUGACUCAGUGCUGCUUUCAGGCCCUGCCAGAAACCAAGUAGAGAGGCAUGAGGAAAACAAACAGAAGUUACUGAAGCAUUUCAGAGUUUUCAGAAAAGUUUGGUUCAGCUACAAUUCCAGUAAAGCUCCGAGAAGGAUGAAGCAGGAAAAUAUUUCCUAACCAAAUUUCCCAUGCACAGGCUCUUAGUAGACAAGCAUGUGUGAAUUUUACAACAGCUCUGCAUUCCUGGUCAGGACCUGCGAGGCUCUGUAUCCAGACAGACGAAGGGAAGGAUGAUGCACACAUAGAACGCAUGGAAAAACGCCCUGUAAAUACCAGCUCCAGUUUUGCCCUCAUAUCUGCUUCUCCAGCAAGAAGGCUUCCCUGGAACUGCAUGUUUUCCAGAUGAAAAUCCUGCUUUUUUUUAAUUAUUUUUUUUUAAUUUUAGGUAUUAUAAACACUUUACAGAAGAGCCUGGCAGACACUGAGGGCUGCACACACACAAACAUGCCUGCUGGGAACUCUGCUCCAGGAAUGCUCAGCUCGGUUCUGGCCAGCCUCUCGUAUAAUACAAAUAGUAGAAUGCCAGUUUUUAUACCAGUUUUGAAAAGAAAACAGCCCGAAUAUAUUUGAGAGUGAAACCCAAAGCUGAAUUAGCCCUCAGUUCGGCAAAAAAAAAAAAAAAAAAAACCCAAAAAACACAGUUUAAAGUUAAACCCCAGAGACAUGCUCACAAAUGAGUCACGUGUCAGAGCUAUCUUGGAUUCCGGUCUGUAUUCACACACUCCAUCAUAGGUUGGUUGUCAUUAAUGUCAGUUUAACAGUGGAGAAAAAGGAAAACCAUCUGAUAUAUUGCCAGCUUCUUUCCCCUGCCUCCUCCUGGAAAGGGCACCGUAGCUCAAAGCAGGGCAGCAAAGCAAUAAUAGUCACCCCCAAGGGGUAGAAGGACGACCUAAACGUCGAUAUAGCACGUAAGACAUUAAUUUCACCUAAUCAGGGCCACAGAGCACCAAAAUGUCUUCUUGAGGACGAUACAGUUGUUUUGUAACACCACUGGACAGCACAGGGAAGCUCAAGUCCCUCAGAGGGCUGCUACGAUGCUGUUAUGCUCUGAUAUGGUUUAAUUUUUAGGUAGUCCCGUGUGGAGCCAGGACUUGGAUUCGAUGAUCCCUGUGGGUCCUUCCCAGCUCAGAUACUCUAUGGUUUUACUUUAACCGUUUAUAAUUUCUUUUCAAUAUAACUCUCCACUUUACGGGGUUUGUGAUGCUGCGAUUUGAAAUAAUUCAGCUUACUAUUUAUUCUUAAAUCAUGCAUUUCAUACACACGUACACACAAGCUUAAACCCAUCUUCACGGGAACUCCCCAGUCUUUAAAAUUAACAAGAAAGCCACAAAACCAAACCCGGAGCUCUAGCUUGCAAAACCCCCACGAGAUGGCUCUGUGGAUGGGUGCAGCUAUGGCAGCUUCGGGUGCACCCUGGGGUCCAGAUACCUCCUGCCACCAACACCACAACAUCAUGAGGCACAUGCAGCUGCAAAGGAAGGGUGGCCACAUCCCCCCAGGUUUAUUAUCUUGAUCGAUAGCCGAGCUGCAGGUUGGUUAAUGCAGGCAGAUGGUAACCAGUGAUAACGUAUCUUAACUGCAAGCCGAUGUCUUGAAGCACAGCUGUGCACACGGUUUCCCUUAAUUUCUGCAUACAGCAGGCCUAUGCUGUUUUGUUCCAUCUUCUCUGUUACUCGGAGCAGAAGCAGCAUUGUUCCCCUCCCGUUUUAAAAAAUUAGUUUCCCGAAAUUCAAACUUAAUAAAGUUAAUGAAGUGACUUUUAAGGUUCCUGAAAAAUCCACCUUACGUGCAGAGUUCAAGGGUUUACAAAUGUAAGGGAAUGGUUCGGCUGUCAUCUUUCUUAAGCAGGACAAGAGAAGUCAACUCCAGUGUUUGGUAUAAAAUAGAGCCUCUGAUUUACCCUUGCACCAACUUACUAGCACAGUAAGGCCAAUUUAGGCAGCUUCCUACAGACCACAGAACCCAGUGCAAACAGGCAACAAAAUCAGACCAGUUCUUCAGGCACGAUUCCGACCCAGCCAUAAAAUAGCAACCACGAGUUUUGGUCGGUGCUCCUAAGAUCACACCUCCCUUAUCAAACUCACAGGAGAUCCAGAAGACAACUUCAAUGCGUUCUCCCAAUUAAACAGCUUGUUUGCAUCUAAUGCAGUGUUUAUUGACUCCUGGGCCUGUAUUGAUUCUGAAUAGGCUACAGCUAAGGUUUAGUAAAUGCCUUGGAGAUAAAUCAGCAUGCAGGUAAUAAACUGCAGAUCGCAUAAGCAAACAUUACUUAAUUAUAUUCCUAUUAAUAUAUUGAGUCUGUAAUGAAUUUUUGAGGCAUUUAAUUAUCAAUUUGACAAGAUAAUCUAGGGGUAGUUAAUGAUGGACCAGUAAAUUGUUAAAAAGAAAAACCUGCAGAUGCUUAAUAAGUCUCCUAACUGACAGCGAAUUAACUUGCUUUAGCUGUCUGGUUAAAUAGACAGCAGUUAAUUACAGAGCGCUUAAACAGUCUCACAAUUUUAAUAUAUAACCCUCUUUGCUGUGUGGUAACCAUGCAGCUGGAGACACGGGCUCUUCUCCAUGUAUUUCCCUCAGACAGCUGAAUUACUUCGCUGUUGCAACCACUGACUUCAGUGAGAUUCAGCAGUUGGGACCUUAUGAUUUGCAAAUGCAAUGGACCGCUCCUUCUCUUCCGUGAUCAGAGCUUGCUGCCUUCUGUCCCUUCGGGGUUUGCACCAAAAGGGAAAUGUUUUUUGCUCAUAGGAAUGGUGACACUUUGGAAAUGGAAGUGGUCACCAUAGAGCUCCAUGUGGCCCCGGGUCAGGCAGAAACAGCCUGGCCAGCCGUGGAUGUCUGAACGUUGCUAUUGAGAUACUCGUGUAUACCCAAGAAAUGCUUCACCCUGCGCCGACGUGCAGCUCCUUCUUUGGAUAAAAUCUGACACUUCACUGCUUCAGCACUGACUCAUACAAAGAUGAUCACUUGCCAUAGAGUUUUGGGAAUGUUAAAAAGGGAAAGAAAAAACAAAAAGCAACAUAGAAAAGGCAAACGAGCCAGCAAAGGCUGUACAGUUCAUUACAGAGGUUAGUGAGCGAGGGUAACAAGCAGUAAUAGCUGAGCCACCUUCUCUAGGAAUAGCCCCGAGCUGCACUGAGGAAGCACAGCUUCCCUGAGCUGAGGAAGUCUUGGAAAUGGUUGGUUUGAAAUGUAAAACACUGCUGAUAAUCCCGGGUUGAGCAUGAAUAAAACAUUGUAGAGCCUUAAUCAGCCGGAGAAAACACACGCAGAUCCUUAAAGGAAAACUCAUUUCAGGAAGUGGAAGCGAUGUUGUUUGACUCCAGGAGUUCAGAGGCCCCAAGUCAUCAGUCUCUCCUAUCAUUAGCAUAAAGAGAAGUUUUUUGAGUGCCAGUUCUUUUAAUUUAUUUACUUUGGGGAGCCGUUAAGGAUGAAGCCUUUUUCCCCUCAGUAAUUAUGCAGCGUAAAAGCCCUCUCUCCAAAAAUAAAUAAAAACAUUCAUGCAAUAACACAAAUCCAGGAAGAAGGGCCACCAAAAAUUCACCAAAUGCUAUGAGACUGGAAAACUAAAGCAGGGUCCCUUACCCAGACAGAUAUUUGCAUGGCAGGGCAAUAACAACAGCAAUGUCAUUCUGCUCUUAAAGUUACUAGCUGUGGCAGUGGUAAGUAGCAGGGUUAGCAGGCAGAGUCCUUCUGUAAUGAUCUAGUACCUGAUCUAGUGGGUGACAAUCCUGCCCAUGAGAAGGGUGGUCUUCGAGGUCUCUUCCAACCCAAGCCAUACUUAUGAUUCUGUGAUUGCAGUCUCAUUAAAGUAAGAAUUCGGGGAGACAAACCCUCAGUCUGGGAACGAAUAAAUCACCAUAAGCACUGGAGUCUGUGUCCCCAGCUUCAGUUAUGUCAUGCUUUUCAGAGUUAGGCCAGGAGAGGCUCAGCAAGGUUCCUGAAGGGCACGGUCCUUAGGCGUCAUUCUCCAGCAUCACCCAAGUGAGAGGAAAAGGUUUCUGUCACCUCUGCUGUGUCAGCUGGGCUGACAGCGGCUUCAACAUCAGAGGCAGCCUUUUUGGUCACAAAGGACAACACCACCUUCAGCUCAAGCAGAUGGAACCCAAGAGGGGACCAUGAACCCAGCUGCAGUAGGUAUAUGGCAAAGCUCAGCAUCCCUGUGAGUCCGGUGCCGCUUUUGCAUUGAGCGCUACUUAACACUUCCAGCAGAUCUGUUCUGCCUAAGAAAGGCAAGAAAAGCCAUGAGGCAACCUUACCAGACUCAUCCCUUUUUAUAUCAACCUCUGAGCAAUGGGCUCCCUUCUACAGGCACCUUGUCACUGGUUGGGUACCCACGAGACCAUUCCCCAAACAGGGCACACAGGGGAAGCCAGGCUGAGUUUAACCCCUUGCUUACUGGAAGAGAAAGCAGUGCUGUCCCUGUGCCAACACCGAGCUAGCAGGGCUGCGCUCUGGACAGUGCUCACUCUUGCAGAGCCCAGUUGUUUCAGGCAUGCCCUCAAGGAAGGAUUUCGGCAGAAAUGGCAGCUAUACCUCCAGCUCUGCAUGUGAAGCAGCACAUGUAUCACCAAUGUGCAGCGGUGUUUUUCCAAAGCCACUUUCGGCCCCAGCAACCCUUGGGAUGUGCAGAAGCAGCCCCUCACCUCUCCUCCCCACCAGGGUCGAGUUCUGCAGGCUCUGCCCAUCCCUCUCCUUUUGCACUGCCGGUUGCCGGGGUUUCUCUUUGGCUGCUGUUUUUGGGCCCAGCUGCAGGAGGGCUCUGCUCCAACACAGGCUCAGCUGGGCUAGCACAAUAGGAAAACAAAAGCCCGCUCGCUUGGGAUCUGAGCCUUUUCAGCCCCGUUUCCUUUUCCGAUGCUUUCAUUUCCUCCGAGCAAAACGCUGCUGAAAGGAGAGCAGUGUGGCGGUAGCGGCUGCAGCGGGCAUAGGGGCUCGGGUGUCGCUUCAUCUGGGUCAGUGAUUUCAAAGGGGCCUUCGCUCAGCUCCUCCCUUAGAAAUCGUAUCUCUUCUAAGAAGGCUUUCAAAGAUGCUAAGCUGCGAAUUGAGCCCGCUUUUUUUUUUUUUUUUUUUGGCGUUUGCUCCGCGGUCCGCAAAGCACCCGAGGAAAAGCACCUGGCGAAGUCAGGGAGGACCCGGGCUAUCCGCUCGUUGGCUCAUAGGGUAUAGGGUGGGAAAGAGGAGGAGGGGACGAGGGCGGUAUUACGGCCACUGCAAAUGGCCGCAGGGCGGCGAGGAGCGGCCCCGGAGAGCCCCGGGCCGUGCACCUGCUCCAGCCCCGGAGAGGCAGCAGAGGGCGCUCGGGGAGCGGCGGUGCGGCCUCCCCCGGCCGUGCGGGGAGGGGUCACGGAGCAGAACGGGGCUGCCGGAGCUUGGCGUCGCUCGAGGUUGUCCCAGCCUUUCCCCAGGCUCCGUUUGCUGGGUAGCUGACGACAGGACGCCCUCCAGGUGCCUUCGCGCUGCGGUGUUGUCGCCACAAAGCACCGCGAGUGUCCUGCUCGCAGGGAAUGGCACCGAAUGUCAUCUUCAGGUCAGCAUGCUGUCCUCAUGCAGGACCCAAUGCACUCCUAGGCUGUGGUUCAUUUCCGCCUUGUCUCGCUUGGCUCACCUGGAGAGUGGAGGUGGUGCUGUGCUGUAACAGCAACUGGCUGUUUUCUGAG
ensembl:lncRNA